rnacentral:rRNA from 1 species
UACGUAGGGUGCGAGCGUUGUCCGGAUUUAUUGGGUGUAAAGGGUGCGUAGGUGGGGUCUCAAGUCUUUUUUGAAAGUUAGCUGCUCAACAGUUAGACGUGGCUGGAAACUGGGAUUCUGGAAUGGGGUGGCGGCUGCCGGAACGGGUCAUGUAGCGGUGAAAUGCAUAGAUAUGACCCAGAACACCGAUUGCGAAGGCAGGCAGCUACGAACUGAUUGACACUGAGGCACGAGAGCAUGGGUAGCGAACAGG